UGUAGAGUAUCCCAAUUUUCCUUUGCCGUUUCGCAAGCCGAAACACGAGUAAACUCCGUUUGAGACAAUGCAUUAAAUAAAGCGUUUAUGCACUUGCCGUUAAACGAAGAUGUCUCGUUUUCUUCCUUCGUCCACUUGUUCCGUGGUUUUGGCUUUUCAACAUUAUCGACCUUUUCUAUCGGAUGUUUCCAUCCAAAUUCAAUUGAUUGCCAAACCGGCUCAUCGAUAGCAAUUAGAACAGCU
rnacentral:lncRNA from 1 species